AGAGUUUGAUCAUGGCUCAGAACGUACGCUGGCGGCACGCCUUAUACAUGCAAGUCGAACGAAGUAGCAAUACUUAGUGGCAGACGGGUGAGUAACAUGUAGGUAUCUACCCUUUGGUGAGGAAUAACACGAGGAAACUUGUGCUAAUACCUCAUAAGUCUUUACGGAGAAAGCUUUAUGCGCCGAAGGAUGAGCCUGCACUUGAUUAGUUUGUUGGUGGGGUAAUGGCCUACCAAGACUUUGAUCUAUAGCUGAUCUGAGAGGAUGAUCAGCCACAUUGGGACUGAGACACGGCCCAAACUCCUACGGGAGGCAGCAGUAGGGAAUAUUGCACAAUGGAGGAAACUCUGAUGCAGCGAUGCCGCGUGAGUGAAGAAGGCCUUUGGGUUGUAAAGCUCUUUCGUCGGGGAAGAAAAUGACUGUACCCGAAUAAGAAGGUCCGGCUAACUUCGUGCCAGCAGCCGCGGUAAUACGAAGGGACCUAGCGUAGUUCGGAAUUACUGGGCUUAAAGAGUUCGUAGGUGGUUAAAAAAGUUGGUGGUGAAAUCCCAGAGCUUAACUCUGGAACUGCCAUCAAAACUUUUUAGCUAGAGUAUGAUAGAGGAAAGCAGAAUUUCUAGUGUAGAGGUGAAAUUCGUAGAUAUUAGAAAGAAUACCAAUUGCGAAGGCAGCUUUCUGGAUCAUUACUGACGCUGAGGAACGAAAGCAUGGGUAGCGAAGAGGAUUAGAUACCCUCGUAGUCCAUGCCGUAAACGAUGUGUGUUAGACGUUGGAAAUUUAUUUUCAGUGUCGCAGCGAAAGCGUUAAACACAC
rnacentral:rRNA from 1 species